rnacentral:rRNA from 1 species
UGGGGGAUAUUGCACAAUGGGCGAAAGCCUGAUGCAGCGACGCCGCGUGGGGGAUGAAGGCUUUCGGGUUGUAAACCUCUUUCGCUAUCGAACAAGGCCCGCUUAGGGUGGGUUGAGGGUAGGUGGAGAAGAAGCGCCGGCUAACUACAUGCCAGCAGCCGCGGUAAUACGUAGGGCGCGAGCGUUGUCCGGAAUUAUUGGGCGUAAAGGGCUUGUAGGCGGCUUGUUGCGCCUGCUGUGAAAACGCGGGGCUUAACUUCGCGCGUGCAGUGGGUACGGGCAGGCUUGAGUGUGGUAGGGGUGACUGGAAUUCCAGGUGUAGCGGUGGAAUGCGCAGAUAUCUGGAGGAACACCGAUGGCGAAGGCAGGUCACUGGGCCAUUACUGACGCUGAGGAGCGAAAGCAUGGGUAGCGAACAGG